UAAUCACUUGUCUUUUAAAUGAGGACCUGUAUGAAUGGCAAAACGAGGGCUUAACUGUCUCCCCCUUUUAAUCAAUGAAAUUGAUCUCCCCGUGCAGAAGCGGGGUUUUCUCCAUAAGACAAAAAGACCCUGUGGAGCUUUAAACACAAGAGAGGAGUGCCCAAAACUCGUUUCAUUAAUUUACUAGACUAAGCACCUUAACCCCUCUCUACUGUUUUCGGUUGGGGCGACCGCGGUGUAAUAAAUAACCCCCGCGAGGACAAGAACCACUGUUUCUAUAAGAAAGACCCACAAUUCUUCCACACAAAUUUUUUGACCACUGGAUCCGGCAAAUAGCCGAUUAACGAACCAAGUUACCCCAGGGAUAACAGCGCAAUCCCCUCCCAGAGCCCA
rnacentral:rRNA from 1 species